UAUGGGAAAAGAAUCUGAAGAAGAAUGGAUAUGAGUAUGUGUAUAACUAAUCACUUUGCAUACAUCUAAAACUAACCUACACUGUAAGUCAACUACACUCCGAUAAAAAUGUUUUAAAUGAAUAAUGCACUGACGCUUGUGCGUAGCAAGGACAGUAAAUGCAAAUCUAAUUGGGUGGCUCUGUUGGCUUUGUGCUCUUUUAGGGAUAGGAGUAGGGACAGCUACAAAGGGGUUCCUGUGCUGCCACAUCCUGUGAAAAAGGACAGAUUCAGAUUCUUUGGCCUGGCAGGCAUCUUUUGGGUCGCUAAAAAGAAGAGAAGUUGUGACUCUACGACCAGAAAGUUUUUCUUCCAGGUCAACCAGCUGCUUCCGGUUUUGACCUCAUCUUCAUCAAGCUGGACAACACAGCAGUACUCAAAAAUCCUGCCAAAUGAAGGAGUGCCACAAAGAGCAAACUCUGCUGUUUGGAACUCACUCCCUGGGGGGACAAUGGGAGGACAAAGUGAUUACAACGUGGAGGAGAGGCCUGCACAGGAACUUUAUCUGUAAGAGGCAGCAUGGCAUCAAGCAGGGUCAACAACAAGCCAGAUGGUCAACAUUUGAGGCACCUGAAAUUACCCCAACUCUUCUGUUCCAGCACAAAAGCAGCCAGACAACAUACACGUGAAGAGAUGUAGCUGCAGUCUUAUUAAUAAAGCUUUGUUUAUAGACACUGAAA